GAUGAACGCUGGCGGCGUGCCUAAUACAUGCAAGUCGAGCGAACAGACGAGGAGCUUGCUCCUCUGACGUUAGCGGCGGACGGGUGAGUAACACGUGGAUAACCUACCUAUAAGACUGGGAUAACUUCGGGAAACCGGAGCUAAUACCGGAUAAUAUAUUGAACCGCAUGGUUCAAUAGUGAAAGACGGUUUUGCUGUCACUUAUAGAUGGAUCCGCGCCGCAUUAGCUAGUUGGUAAGGUAACGGCUUACCAAGGCAACGAUGCGUAGCCGACCUGAGAGGGUGAUCGGCCACACUGGAACUGAGACACGGUCCAGACUCCUUCGGGAGGCAGCAGUAGGGAAUCUUCCGCAAUGGGCGAAAGCCUGACGGAGCAACGCCGCGUGAGUGAUGAAGGUCUUCGGAUCGUAAAACUCUGUUAUUGGGGAAGAACAAAUGUGUAAGUAACUAUGCACGUCUUGACGGUACCUAAUCAGAAAGCCACGGCUAACUACGUG
rnacentral:rRNA from 1 species